rnacentral:rRNA from 1 species
GAUGAACGCUGGCGGCGUGCUUAACACAUGCAAGUCGAACGAAGCACUUUAUUUGAUUUCCUUCGGGACUGAUUAUUUUGUGACUGAGUGGCGGACGGGUGAGUAACGCGUGGGUAACCUGCCUUGUACAGGGGGAUAACAGUUGGAAACGGCUGCUAAUACCGCAUAAGCGCACGGCAUCGCAUGAUGCAGUGUGAAAAACUCCGGUGGUAUAAGAUGGACCCGCGUUGGAUUAGCUAGUUGGUGAGGUAACGGCCCACCAAGGCGACGAUCCAUAGCCGACCUGAGAGGGUGACCGGCCACAUUGGGACUGAGACACGGCCCAAACUCCUACGGGAGGCAGCAGUGGGGAAUAUUGCACAAUGGGCGAAAGGCUGAUGCAGCGACGCCGCGUGAGCGAAGAAGUAUUUCGGUAUGUAAAGCUCUAUCAGCAGGGAAGAUAAUGACGGUACCUGACUAAGAAGCACCGGCUAAAUACGUG